AAAUAGAGAGAGAGAGAAAAAGAAAGAAACAAGUUGGACUUGCGUUUUUCUCUGUAUUUCUGUUGUGUUUGGCCAUUUCGACUACGCUGUUUGUAACAGAUAUCUUUUCGUAAUAUUUCUAGCUUUCUGGAAGCCGACGAUCAUUUCUCCUCCAGCUUUAUACUUGUCGCACAAGAUCAACAAUGUUAUUAGUUAUGAUGUUACUAAUGAUGGCUUCCUACACUUCGGCCUUCGUUGAGAUCGUAGAUAUGAUUCCUUCAGGCACAUUUGAUAUGGGACACACAACAACCCUAAUUAUAAAAUGUCAAUAUGCUGCAGACAAUCUUAUUCAGUUUUUUCUAUUGCGAAAUCACACUGAAGUCAUUUUUCAAUAUGAUUAUAACUUGAAGAGAAAGGCAUUUGUCGAACGAAACAAGAAAAGGGGUUUCGAAUGUUCUCCACUUGCACAGAAUAAAGGUGUGGUUACCUGCACGAAAUUUAAUCUCACUUGCGAGGAUGCGACAUACUACACAUGUAAAACAAAUGUAAACAUUUCAAAGACUAGACUUUUAAAAGUGAAAUCUCACAUGAAGAAACUGGAAUUUCUUAACCCGCCCGCUAAAGUAAACCAGUUAGCGUUCUUCAAAUGUUCAGCAUACGUCGGUGCACCUUUUGGUGCUACUAACUUUGUAUGGGUUCAUACCACACAAAACCACAAAUGGAUAAAUAUAAAUAGUGUGGUUGUUCCACCUCUUGGCAAGUGUUUAGCUCCAGCAGUGUCACUUAAGAAAAUCCUUAUUAGAGAGGGGGACAUUGGUUACUCAAACAUCACGUGCGUUCUGUUCGGUGAAUCACGCACUAUGCUACUCACCAACAUAACAGGUGGUGAGCAGGAACAAAUCGCAGAUAAUGCAGAUAAAUUAUAUGAUGCAAAUACUCUUACUAGGAUUCUGAAAUUUGCAGCAACACUGCUUGUUAUUUGCAAUCUUCGUUAAGGAUCUCAGAAAACAAACCCCGGCAGAAUCAACAUGAUAUUGAAAUUGUAGACAUCUCACCUCUUGAUUAUAUUGAUUUUGGAUACACGACUGGAAUAACUAUAAUAUGUCAGUUCAAGCUGGAUGAUCUCAAUGCGCUUUACAUCGAGCGAAACAACAAUCCUAUUUUUAAAUUUCAAUAUAGCUGGGAAACAAGAAAGUAUUAUAUAGCAUAUAAGCAUAGAGGUUUCGACUGUACUCCAAUUACUGGUCCUAAAGAUCUGACUACCUGCUGGAAAUUUAAUCCCACGUGUGAGGAUGCAGCAAGCUAUUCAUGUACAUCAUAUGCCGAAUCUUCAGAACCUAAGAUUUUAAAAGCGCGAUCUUACAUAAGUGGACUGCAAGUUCUUAACCCACCCAUUGAAGUGGGCAAGACAUCGAUCUUCAGAUGUUCAGCAUAUAUCGCUGCACCUUUUGGCAUUAAAGACUUUUUAUGGUUUGAAAGAACGCUGAGUGGUACAAAAGUACAUGAGCAUAAAAUAAAAGUUCUAUCUCGCGACGAGUGUUUAACUCCAGUGGUGUCAAUUUAUAAUUACACGGUAAAACAUGAGGACUUUGGCGUAACGAACAUCACAUGUUUUCUGGAUGGCAAAACACUCACUAAAUUACUCAGCAACUAAGCAAUUAUUGGACAGCGGUCUUGCUGGAGCAACACAUUGAAAGGUUUAGUCGAACAAAUGAACCCCAGUACUUAUUG